rnacentral:sRNA from 1 species
UGGUCAGGCUGGUCUCAAACUCCUGACCUCGUGAUCCACCUGCCUUGGCCUCCCAAAGUGUUGGGAUUACAGGCGUGAGCCACCACACCCAGCCUCCAAAUAUGAUUUAAGUUAACCUUUUACCAAAACUCCAGCCAGAGGUAACCUGUAGGUAUUAUGGUUUGAACUAGCAGAGGUCCUGAGACCAUCUAACUGUUGGGUCUAUUUCUUGGGGACAGCAGCUACCAAGGGGGUGCCAGCUGGAAACAGUGACACAGAGGGGGGCCAGCCUGGUCGGAAACGACGCUGGGGAGCCAGCACAGCCACUACACAGAAGAAACCUUCCAUCAGUAUCACCACUGAAUCACUAAAGAGCCUCAUCCCCGACAUCAAACCCCUGGCGGGGCAGGAGGCUGUUGUGGAUCUUCAUGCUGAUGACUCUCGCAUCUCUGAGGAUGAGACAGAGCGUAAUGGCGAUGAUGGGACCCAUGACAAAGGGCUGAAAAUAUGCCGGACAGUCACUCAGGUAGUACCUGCAGAGGGCCAGGAGAAUGGGCAGAGGGAAGAAGAGGAAGAAGAGAAGGAACCUGAAGCAGAACCUCCUGUACCUCCCCAGGUGUCAGUAGAGGUGGCCUUGCCCCCACCUGCAGAGCAUGAAGUAAAGAAAGUGACUUUAGGAGAUACCUUAACUCGACGUUCCAUUAGCCAGCAGAAGUCCGGAGUUUCCAUUACAAUUGAUGACCCGGUCCGAACUGCCCAGGUGCCCUCCCCGCCCCGGGGCAAGAUUAGCAACAUUGUUCAUAUCUCCAAUUUGGUCCGUCCUUUCACUUUAGGCCAGCUAAAGGAGUUGUUGGGGCGCACGGGAACCUUGGUGGAAGAGGCCUUCUGGAUUGACAAGAUCAAAU